GACAGAAGACCAUGAAUCUUCUAUUCUUAAUGUGUCUCCUGCUCUACGGCCCCAUACAAACAGCUCAGACCGAGUCAACAACCAAAGGAACUGCACCAACAUCUAUAUCUAGCACAUCUACAUCUACAGAGUCAACAACCAAAGGAACUACACCAAUAUCGACAUCUAGCACAUCUACAUCUACAUCUACCCAACAACCAAGU